GGAUGUGAGGGCGAUCUGGCUGUGACAUCUGCCACCCUAUCGAUGGCCAGGGCUGAUUUGGUUGAUCUGACUGGCUAGGCGGGUGUCCCCUUCCUCCCUCAGCACUCCAGAUGUGCCCCUCCCAGAGCUGCGUCCUUGGUGGAGGAGAACUACCUUCCCCAAAACAGAGGAGCACCCGUCCUCCUCAAGGGUAUACGAGUAGCUGCGCUCCCCUGCUAGAAUCUGCAAACAAGCUCCCAAAGCUACAUUCCAUUGAAACCUCAGUAAAAUGUAAAAUUAAAGCCCUAAUCUCUUCUCUGUCUAAUGCACACAAUGCCCAUGAAUUAGCAUUAGUAAAUUUCC
rnacentral:snRNA from 1 species